AAUUUAGCAUUUAUUAACUUUUGCCUUUUUAAAUUGACUUCAGAAAGUUAUCUACAGCCACACAUCCACUGUAUACCAAGUUAUGAUGAUCAAUUAUGAGAAUGCAAAAUGAUUUAUAGAUCAGUAAACAAUCAACAAAAAGAUGGGUGCUCAUGGUGGCCUCCAAAUAAAUACAUGGACAGGCUGCUAAAGAGGGUCAGGAUGAUGGAGAUGCAAGAGCCAAAGACAGCACGGACCAAACACCAGGCCAGAAUUCUGCAUGAGUCAGCUGUAAAAAACAAAAGAAUGAAACAGUACCUGCAUUUUAGUUUCCAGCCUUUUUCACAAAGUUGCCGACAACUGGAAGAAUGUCCCAAAUUGCUGAAAAAAGAAAUUCAGUAAGUCCUUAUAAAAGAGACAGUUUAAAAGAUUGAGUAAUUUUCACUCUAGAGACCCUGGGGUGACCAACAAGGACGAAUGAAAACUCCAGUGAGUGUCUCUAAGGUAGAUCCUAAUGCAGAUGGAUGGAAUGUUGAUCCGCCUAACAUGCAAGAUUUUCUGCACCGAGAACUUUGGAUGACCAUCAAGACAAGCACUCGUUUUGAGUCCUGAGACCCUGGGGUGACCACCGUGAACAAAUACAGACUGCAAAAAGGCAGUCUUGACGGUUCUAGGAUGAAUGCAAAUAAAGACUGACCACCUGACUUCAGCGGUCCAGUCUCUUGUGGGAAGCAGCUGUUUGUUACCCCAAAUACGGAUGAAGAGUGACGAAGAGGAUGAUGACUUUUUUUCUCAAACAUCAUCUGAAGAUCUUGACAGGCUGGAGACAAAAUUAACAGACUGAGGGUUUAUACAAAGAAUCUUACUCAGCCAAUAUUAAAGAUAAGAUAUUUUUACAAAAUGUUCUUUUCAUUGUUUAGGAUGAUUUUAUGUAGAAAACAAUACAUCACAAAAAAGA